UACGGAGGGUGCGAGCGUUGUCCGGAAUCAUUGGGCGUAAAGGGCGCGUAGGUGGCUCGGUCAGCGUGCGGUGAAAGCUCGGGGCUCAACCCCGAGUCGGCCGUGCGAACUGCUGGGCUUGAGCACUGUAGAGGCAGGCGGAAUUCCGGGUGUAGCGGUGGAAUGCGUAGAGAUCCGGAAGAACACCGGUGGCGAAGGCGGCCUGCUGGGCAGUGGCUGACACUGAGGCGUGACAGCGUGGGGAGCAAACAGG
rnacentral:rRNA from 1 species